GUGCUCAUUUCAGCAGCACAUAUAGUAAAAUUAGACUGAUACAGAGAUUAGCACAGCCCCUGUGCAAAGAUGACACGCAAAUUCAUAAAGCAUUUCAUUAAAAA
rnacentral:snRNA from 1 species